GGUGGGCUGGAGCAUAGGACACAACAGGCUGUCUGUGGUCCCUCACUCUACCUGUCUCCAUAG
rnacentral:miRNA from 14 species